rnacentral:rRNA from 1 species
GUGUCAGCAGCCGCGGUAAUACGGAGGAUGCAAGCGUUAUCCGGAUUUAUUGGGUUUGAAGGGUGCGUAGGCGGGAUAAUAAGUCAGAGGUGAAAUCUCCCGGCUUAACCGGGAAACUGUCUUUGAUACUGUUAUUCUUGAGUAUAGUUGAGGUGGGCGGAAUGUGUAAUGUAGCGGUGAAAUGCAUAGAUAUUACACAGAACACCGAUUGCGAAGGCAGCUCACUAAACUAAAACUGACGCUGAGGCACGAAAGCGUGGGUAGCGAACAGGAUUAGAUACCCUGGUAGUCCACGCCGUAAACGAUGAAUACUCGAUGUGUGCGACACAUUGUACGCGUCUGAGCGAAAGCAUUAAGUAUUCCACCUGGGGAGUACGACCGCAAGGUUGAAACUCAAAUGAAUUGACGGGG